GUGAUAACACCGCUAAUCAAUCUAAGGAAAUUUUGUUUUUAUAACAUGACAGCCAUGGAGAGAUUAAAAUUAAUUUGUUCGUUAAAAUUACUUGAUGGACCUCAAAUCGGAUUAGAAUGUUUAGAUUUUGUAUUUACAAAAGCAUCUUUUCUUCGCAUGCUGGAUAGUGGAAUUUCUUUCUUUUCUAGUUUGAAAGGUAUACAAGAUGCGAGGAAACCAAAGAUUUGCAAGUGAAUAAAAUCACUUUAGUCAUUUCAACAGUAAUGUGUGAAUAAAUGCUGGAUGUUAUGCAAUGAUGAACAUGGUUUACUUAUACCGUAGUUAUGUAUUUAUCUAUAUUACUGGAAUAAUUAGCACGUGCAUUGUUAGUGAUAUAAUUAUAAUUUACAGUACAACCAGACGUUUGUGAAUCCAAUUUGCAGGAAACGAAUGCGACGUGAUAUAAUCAAGAUUGUUUUUAAGGAACGUAUUGUCUUUGUGAAACAAUAACAGCUUAGAGGAAAAUAAUUGAAGUAGAAGCUUGAGUUCUUACGGGAAGACGUCCCUUUUAGGUGUUUAACACGUAAAGAAACUCCCUAAAACUUUACCUUGCCAGCCUGAACUAUCACAGUGAUCGUUGGUAUUAGCCACUGGUCACUGAUGGAUUCCCAGAAUAAUA